CCCUCAGUGGUGCAAACGGUUAACUCACUUAACUGCUAAUUGAAAGGUUGGUGGUUUGAGUCCACCCAGAGGCA
rfam:Loxodonta africana unplaced genomic scaffold scaffold_96, whole genome shotgun sequence.